CAGGCAGGCUGGUUUGCUCUGAGGUCUUUGGUGGCUGGUUAUGCAGUAUUAGUAUUAUAAUGGGGCUUGUUUUUUAGUCUUAUGUGCCCAGCCAUGCUAAUUACAUUUUAAAAAGCUUUGAGCAGUAGAGGCUCUUCUUGCUAUCGAGUAAAUAUAACCUCAAAGCACAUUUCCGUCCUGAAUUCGGAAAAUAAGUCUCUUUCAAAAGCGAAUAGAUCCUUGCAACUGUAUUUCAAUCAUGCCUAUGAUUCAGUCGUGUAUUCGAUUUGACUAAACUAGGCCUAAUGCUGUGACAGGUUUUUCAAUCGUUAAAAUGAUGACCAUAGUGGUGUGGGUUCUCAAACCUCUACUGAUGCUUUCUCCAGUAAACUAACAGUAGUACCAAUCUACAUCCGGAAACUUUCCGCGGUAUAGGCGGAUUCAAUUUCUAAAGGGAUGUCUUAUGAGUUAGCAAUUUGAACUUAAACGUAAGUUAGAACAUUAGCAGAACUUGAAAAUCACAAAGGAAAUUAGACUCUCAAUGUUCGUCUAUAAACCGAACAAUAAACAAGUUUCCCCUUGAAAAUGACACACAUCCAUUCAACUUAUGAGUCACGCGGUAAUUUUUUGCUGAUCGCCUGAUGUUGUCAUAAGACGUUUCCUGCAAUAUUUCAGGCGGUACCUACAAUCGUUGACAUGUACUAAAAUCUGAAAAAACCAAGAGACCGGGGAAACGAAAAGAGCAAAACCACCAAAAUGAAACCGCCAAAACGACUAAAAAGGGUACACGGGCGAUAGCAGCCUAAUCUCGGCGUUCUUUGGGCUCACCGUGGCGCUAUUCAGGCUAUCAGAAGCCGAGGCAUAUUGCAGACAGACAGAAAUCCACUCUGGUUAGCCUGAAUACCUACCCAAAAUAAGUAAGUACACCUUACUGUUAGUGAGAACAAGUAAGGAUUUUUUUGUUGCAAGCGAUGAAACCAGAUAUUACGUUACAAACGGUACAUUGACAUUUGUUUUUCACGAAAAGGUAGUUUCAGUUAAAACUGACCAUCCAGUGACUCUUAUUCUCGUGAUAAUAAACUAACAAGAAAGCAAAUAAAGCAGCAUGUCAAGAAUGAGUUAUGCAACCAUUUGUUGGCAUGUUUUCAAAGAACGUCUCCGGCACUGGCACUUUUUAGUAUCUUGUAUCAAUAUAUAGGCAUUCUACGGAAAGGGGUGUUAAAAACCACUAUUAAAUAUUUGGCUGAUAUUUUCUUAAGAAAAUUAUAACAUGAAAGUACAAACUACUCAGUGUAUAAUAUACAGAACAACUAAUUGAUAGUUGAGCACAGAAUUUUGCUACCGUCAUCGUUG